rnacentral:tRNA from 1 species
GAGGCUCUAGCUUAAUUAAAGUGUCUGGGUUGCAUUCAGGAGAUGUAUUUUAGAAUUUACGUGCCUUC